rnacentral:rRNA from 1 species
GACGAACGCUGGCGGCGUGCCUAAUACAUGCAAGUCGAACGCAGUGGGGACGGGUGCGUAACACGUGGGUAACCUCCCAUCAGAGGGGAUAACCCUUGGAAACAGGCGCUUAACCGAUACUGAUGGAUGAACUCGCGGUGCAUUAGCUAGUUGGUGUGGUAACGGCUCACCAAGGCCACGAUGCAUAGCCGAACUGAGAGGGUGAUCAGCCACACCGGGACUGAGACACGGCCCAGACUCCUACGGGAGGCAGCAGUAGGGAAUGUUCAGCAAUGGGCGAAAGUCUGACCGAGCAACGCCGCGUGAGUGAAGAAGGUUUUCGGAUCGUAAAACUCUGUUGUUAGAGAAGCGGUAUCUAACCAGAAAGCCACGGCUAACUACGUGCCAGCAGCCGCGGUAAUAC